UGCAAUCCGCUGACGACCGGCGCACGGGUGCGUAACGCGUAUACAAUCUGCCUUUUGCUGAGGAAUAGCCCAGAGAAAUUUGGAUUAAUGCCUCAUGGUAUAUAUGAGUGGCAUCACUUAUAUAUUAAAGGAUACGGCAAAAGAUGAGUAUGCGUUCUAUUAGCUGGAUGGUGUGGUAACGGCACACCAUGGCAACGAUAGAUAGGGGCCCUGAGAGGGGGAUCCCCCACACUGGUACUGAGACACGGACCAGACUCCUACGGGAGGCAGCAGUGAGGAAUAUUGGGCAAUGGAGGGAACUCUGACCCAGCCAUGCCGCGUGCAGGAAGACUGCCCUAUGGGUUGUAAACUGCUUUUAUACAGGAAGAAACACUCCUUCGUGCAAGGAGCUUGACGGUACUGUAAGAAUAAGGAUCGGCUAACUCCGUGCCAGCAGCCGCGGUAAUACGGAGGAUCCAAGCGUUAUCCGGAAUUAUUGGGUUUAAAGGGUCCGUAGGUUGUUAACUAAGUCAGAGGUGAAAUCCUGCAGCUCAACUGUAGAAUUGCCUUUGAAACUGGUUAACUUGAGUCAUUAUGAAGUGGUUAGAAUGUGUAGUGUAGCGGUGAAAUGCAUAGAUAUUACACAGAAUACCGAUUGCGAAGGCAGAUCACUAAUAAUGUACUGACACUGAUGGACGAAAGCGUGGGUAGCGAACAGGAUUAGAUACCCUGGUAGUCCACGCCGUAAACGAUGGUCACUAGCUGUGUGGACUUUACGUCUGCGUGGCUAAGCGAAAGUGAUAAGUGACCCACCUGGGGAGUACGUUCGCAAGAAUGAAACUCAAAGGAAUUGACGGGGGCCCGCACAAGC
rnacentral:rRNA from 1 species